ensembl:lncRNA
AUUUGACACAAGCAGGAAUAAUGACCGCAAGAGAAUGAAGUAAUCCUUCCGCCCCACUCAGCAGCAGUGAGGCAGCAGCUGAAGGCUUGCCUCCAGUUUUGGGGCAUCACCCUUCAAGGAGGAGAAGAACGGCACAAUGGGCCUUUGAAAACAGGGCUGGAUAAAUUAGAGCUGUUUCGGACUGCUUUUCUCCAGAGAGUAAUAGAAAAGGGUGUCUGCCCAGCACCUGGAGAGCUAAUAUGGAGAAAGCCCCAGAGCACCACGCUUGCUGUCUAGGCUAUGAACCCACGAGGGUAGGUGGCUGAGACACAUGUACUUCUGCUGUGGGCAGAGGAAACACUGUUGGAGGGGUGGAGGCUGGAGACAGCAUCUUCCACUCAGAAGUGAGCAUUCAUGCAGCAGGAUGUCCUCUUAGCCAGCAUUCCCAAAUGAAGAUCAAUUCCACAAGGGGAAAAGCCUGCAUCUCAACUCAUG